rnacentral:rRNA from 1 species
AUUGAACGCUGGCGGCAGGCUUAACACAUGCAAGUCGAUCGAGCGGCGGACGGGUGAGUAAUGUCUGGGAAACUGCCUGAUGGCGGGGGAUAACUACUGGAAACGGUAGCUAAUACCGCAUACCAUCAGAUGUGCCCAGAUGGGAUUCGCUAGUAGGUGGGGUAAUGGCUCACCUAGGCGACGAUCCCUAGCUGGACUGAGAGGAUGACCAGCCACACUGAAACUGAUACACGGUCCAGACUCCUACGGGAGGCAGCAGGGGGGAAGAUUGCACAAUGGGCGCAAUCCUGAUGCAGCCAUGCCGCGUGUGUGAAGAAGGCCUUCGGGUUGUAAAGCACUUUCAGCGAGGAGGCGUUACUCGCAGAAGAAGCACCGGCUAACUCCGUGCCAGCAGCCGCGGUAAUUC